GUCCAGCAUGCUACAUAGCUCAGUUGGUAGAGCAUGAAACUCUUAAUCUCAGGAUUAUGGGUUCAAGCCCCACGUUGGACA